UACGAAGGGGGCUAGCGUUGCUCGGAAUUACUGGGCGUAAAGCGCACGUAGGCGGCUUUCUAAGUCGGGGGUGAAAUCCUGGAGCUCAACUCCAGAACUGCCUUCGAUACUGGAAAGCUCGAGUCCGGGAGAGGUGAGUGGAACUGCGAGUGUAGAGGUGAAAUUCGUAGAUAUUCGCAAGAACACCAGUGGCGAAGGCGGCUCUCUGGACUGUAACUGACGCUGAGGCGCGAAAGCUAGGGGAGCAAACGGG
rnacentral:rRNA from 1 species